rnacentral:rRNA from 1 species
UACGUAGGGCGCAAGCGUUGUCCGGAAUCAUUGGGCGUAAAGAGCUCGUAGGUGGUCUGUUACGUCUGCUGUGAAAACCUAGGGCUUAACCCUGGGCCUGCAGUGGAUACGGGCAGACUAGAGGUAGGUAGGGGAGAAUGGAAUUCCCGGUGUAGCGGUGAAAUGCGCAGAUAUCGGGAGGAACACCGGUGGCGAAGGCGGUUCUCUGGGCAUUACCUGACGCUGAGACGC